UUCUGGUUGAUCCUGCCGGACCUGACUGCUAUCGGAUUGAUACUAAGCCAUGCGAGUCAUUGUAGCAAUACAAGGCAGACGGCUCAGUAACGCGUAGUCAACCUAACCUAUGGACGGGAAUAACCUCGGGAAACUGAGAAUAAUGCCCGAUAGAACACUAUACCUGGAAUGGUUUGUGUUCCAAAUGAUUUAUCGCCGUAGGAUGGGACUGCGGCCUAUCAGUUUGUUGGUGAGGUAAUGGCCCACCAAGACUAUUACAGGUACGGGCUCUGAGAGGAGUAGCCCGGAGAUGGGUACUGAGACACGGACCCAGGCCCUAUGGGGCGCAGCAGGCGAGAAAACUUUGCAAUGUGCGAAAGCACGACAAGGUUAAUCCGAGUGGUUUCUGCUAAAGGAACCUUUUGUUAGUCCUAGAAACACUAACGAAUAAGGGGUGGGCAAGUUCUGGUGUCAGCCGCCGCGGUAAAACCAGCACCUCAAGUGGUCAGGAUGAUUAUUGGGCCUAAAGCAUCCGUAGCCGGCUCUGUAAGUUUUCGGUUAAAUCUGUACGCUCAACGUACAGGCUGCCGGGAAUACUGCAGAGCUAGGGAGUGGGAGAGGUAGACGGUACUCGGUAGGAAGGGGUAAAAUCCUUUGAUCUAUUGAUGACCACCCGUGGCGAAGGCGGUCUACCAGAACACGUCCGACGGUGAGGGAUGAAAGCUGGGGGAGCAAACCGGAUUAGAUACCCGGGUAGUCCCAGCUGUAAACUAUGCAAACUCAGUGAUGCAUUGGCUUGUGGCCAAUACAGUGCUGCAGGGAAGCCGUUAAGUUUGCCGCCUGGGAAGUACGUACGCAAGUAUGAAACUUAAAGGAAUUGGCGGGGGAGCACCACAAGGGGUGAAGCCUGCGGUUCAAUUGGACUCAACGCCGGAA
rnacentral:rRNA from 1 species